GCAGCAGAGGAUCUGGAGGCAAAUACACUCUCAGUCCUGCUGCUCUUAAUCACACAGGAGUUUAUAUGUGCAGAGGAGAGAGAGGAGAACCAGCCCUUCACACACAGUACAGCAAUCUACAGCCACUAUGGAUCACUGGACUCAGGACAUGGUUGAGGAUUUCUGUGAAGGAGGAUUUUAUUAAAAGUCAGAGCAGGUGAAUCUCCUCCAGUCUCUCUGAUCAUCAAUCCCAGCAGAACUCAACACUUUACUAAAG